rnacentral:rRNA from 1 species
GAUGAACGCUAGCUACAGGCUUAACACAUGCAAGUCGAGGGGCAGCAUGGUCUUAGCUUGCUAAGGCCGAUGGCGACCGGCGCACGGGUGAGUAACACGUAUCCAACCUGCCGUCUACUCUUGGACAGCCUUCUGAAAGGAAGAUUAAUACAAGAUGGCAUCAUGAGUCCGCAUGUUCACAUGAUUAAAGGUAUUCCGGUAGACGAUGGGGAUGCGUUCCAUUAGAUAGUAGGCGGGGUAACGGCCCACCUAGUCUUCGAUGGAUAGGGGUUCUGAGAGGAAGGUCCCCCACAUUGGAACUGAGACACGGUCCAAACUCCUACGGGAGGCAGCAGUGAGGAAUAUUGGUCAAUGGGCGAGAGCCUGAACCAGCCAAGUAGCGUGAAGGAUGACUGCCCUAUGGGUUGUAAACUUCUUUUAUAAAGGAAUAAAGUCGGGUAUGCAUACCCGUUUGCAUGUACUUUAUGAAUAAGGAUCGGCUAACUCCGUGCCAGCAGCCGCGGUAAUACGGAGGAUCCGAGCGUUAUCCGGAUUUAUUGGGUUUAAAGGGAGCGUAGAUGGAUGUUUAAGUCAGUUGUGAAAGUUUGCGGCUCAACCGUAAAAUUGCAGUUGAUACUGGAUAUCUUGAGUGCAGUUGAGGCAGGCGGAAUUCGUGGUGUAGCGGUGAAAUGCUUAGAUAUCACGAAGAACUCCGAUUGCGAAGGCAGCCUGCUAAGCUGCAACUGACAUUGAGGCUCGAAAGUGUGGGUAUCAAACAGGAUUAGAUACCCUGGUAGUCCACACGGUAAACGAUGAAUACUCGCUGUUUGCGAUAUACAGCAAGCGGCCAAGCGAAAGCGUUAAGUAUUCCACCUGGGGAGUACGCCGGCAACGGUGAAACUCAAAGGAAUUGACGGGGGCCCGCACAAGCGGAGGAACAUGUGGUUUAAUUCGAUGAUACGCGAGGAACCUUACCCGGGCUUAAAUUGCAGAUGAAUUACGGUGAAAGCCGUAAGCCGCAAGGCAUCUGUGAAGGUGCUGCAUGGUUGUCGUCAGCUCGUGCCGUGAGGUGUCGGCUUAAGUGCCAUAACGAGCGCAACCCUUGUUGUCAGUUACUAACAGGUUCUGCUGAGGACUCUGACAAGACUGCCAUCGUAAGAUGUGAGGAAGGUGGGGAUGACGUCAAAUCAGCACGGCCCUUACGUCCGGGGCUACACACGUGUUACAAUGGGGGGUACAGAGGGCCGCUACCACGCGAGUGGAUGCCAAUCCCCAAAACCUCUCUCAGUUCGGACUGGAGUCUGCAACCCGACUCCACGAAGCUGGAUUCGCUAGUAAUCGCGCAUCAGCCACGGCGCGGUGAAUACGUUCCCGGGCCU